AGUGAACGCUGGCGGUAGGCCUAACACAUGCAAGUCGAACGGCAGCACAGUAAGAGCUUGCUCUUACGGGUGGCGAGUGGCGGACGGGUGAGGAAUACAUCGGAAUCUACUUUUUCGUGGGGGAUAACGUAGGGAAACUUACGCUAAUACCGCAUAUGACCUACGGGUGGAAGCAGGGGAGCUUCGGACCUUGCGCGAUUGAAUGAGCCGAUGUCGGAUUAGCUAGUUGGCGGGGUAAAGGCCCACCAAGGCGACGAUCCGUAGCUGGUCUGAGAGGAUGAUCAGCCACACUGGAACUGAGACACGGUCCAGACUCCUACGGGAGGCAGCAGUGGGGAAUAUUCGACAAUGGGCGCAAGCCUGAUCCAGCCAUGCCGCGUGGGUGAAGAAGGCCUUCGGGUUGUAAAGCCCUUUUGUUGGGAAAGAAAAGCAGCAGGUUAAUACCCCGCUGUUCUGACGGUACCCAAAGAAAAAGCACCGGCUAACUUCGUG
rnacentral:rRNA from 1 species